UGAAUACGAGACGCUAAGGCGUCGAAGUAGUGUAUGUCAUACUUCCAAGAAAAGCUUGCACUGUCAUAGAUAAAAAACGCCUGUACCAUAACCGACACAGGUGGGUAGGUAAAGUAUACUAAGGGGCGCGAGAUAACUCUCUCUAAGGAACUCGGCAAAAUAACUCCGUAACUUCGGGAGAAGGAGCGCCUUAUUAUUAAGGUUGCAAUAACAAGAUCCAAGCAACUGUUUAUCAAAAACACAGGUCUCCGCUAAGUCGUAAGACGAUGUAUGGGGGCUGACGCCUGCCCAGUGCCAGAAGGUUAAAGAAGCUGGAUAGCAUUUGCGAAGCUAGUAACUGAAGCCCUGGUGAACGGCGGCCGUAACAAUAACGGUCCUAAGGUAGCGAAAUUCCUUGUCGGGUAAGUUCCGACCCGCACGAAAGGCGUAAUGAUUUGGAUACUGUCUCGGAGAGGGGCUCGGUGAAAUAGACUUGUCUGUGAAGAUGCGGACUACCUGCACCAGGACAGAAAGACCCUAUGAAGCUUUACUGUAACUUGAAAUUGAAAUUGGACUUUAUUCGCGCAGUAUAGGUGGGAGGCGUUGAUUAUAAUCUUGCGGGAUUAUUGGAGCCAUUAGUGAGAUACCACUCUUAAUGUAGAUUUCUAACUUUGAAUCAUUAUCUGGUCAAAGAACAGUUUCAGGCGGGCAGUUUGACUGGGGCGGUCGCCUCCUAAACGGUAACGGAGGCGUACAAAGGUUUCCUCUGAACGGUUAGAAAUCGUAUCUAGAGUGUAAAGGCAUAAGGAAGCUUGACUGUGAGACCUACAAGUCGAGCAGGGACGAAAGUCGGUCUUAGUGAUCUGACGGUACUGAGUGGAAAGGCCGUCACUCAACGGAUAAAAGUUACUCUAGGAUAACAGGCUGAUCUCCCCCAAGAGUUCACAUCGACGGGGAGGCUUGGCACCUCGAUGUCGGCUCAUCGCAUCCUGGGGCGGUAGUACGUCCCAAGGGUUGGGCUGUUCGCCCAUGAAAGCGGUACGCGAGCUGGGUUCAGAACGUCGUGAGACAGUUCGGUCCAUAUCCGGUGUAGGCGUUAGAAUAUUGAGAGGAGCCUUCUUUAGUACGAGAGGACCGAGAAGGACAUACCUCUGGUGUACCAGUUAUCGUGCCAACGGUAGACGCUGGGUAGCUAUGUAUGGAGUGGAUAACCGCUGAAAGCAUCUAAGUGGGAAGCCCACCUCAAGAUAAGUAUUCUCAC
rnacentral:rRNA from 1 species